rnacentral:rRNA from 1 species
UGGGGAAUUUUGGACAAUGGGCGAAAGCCUGAUCCAGCAAUGCCGCGUGUGUGAAGAAGGCCUUCGGGUUGUAAAGCACUUUUGUCCGGAAAGAAAUCCUUGGCUCUAAUACAGUCGGGGGAUGACGGUACCGGAAGAAUAAGCACCGGCUAACUACGUGCCAGCAGCCGCGGUAAUACGUAGGGUGCAAGCGUUAAUCGGAAUUACUGGGCGUAAAGCGUGCGCAGGCGGUUUGCUAAGACCGAUGUGAAAUCCCCGGGCUCAACCUGGGAACUGCAUUGGUGACUGGCAGGCUAGAGUAUGGCAGAGGGGGGUAGAAUUCCACGUGUAGCAGUGAAAUGCGUAGAGAUGUGGAGGAAUACCGAUGGCGAAGGCAGCCCCCUGGGCCAAUACUGACGCUCAUGCACGAAAAGCGUGGGGAGCAAACAGGAUUAGAUACCCUGGUAGUCCACGCCCUAAAACGAUGUCAACUAGUUGUUGGGGAUUCAUUUCCUUAGUAACGUAGCUAACGCGUGAAGUUGACCGCCUGGGGAGUACGGUCGCAAGAUUAAAAACUCAAAGGAAUUGACGGGGUCAUAGCUGUUUCCU